UCNCNUCUANGGCGNCUGCCGGUNACAAACCGGAGGAAGGUGGGGUGGAGAGUCAAUCAUCAUGCCCCUUAUGACCUGGGCUACACACGUGCUACAAUGGGNNGUACAACGAGUCGCUAGACCGCUGAGGNCAUGCAAAUCUCUUAAAGCUUCUCUCAGUUCGGAUUGCAGGCUGCAACUCGCCUGCAUGAAGNCGGAAUCGCUAGUAAUCGCGGAUCAGCACGCCGCGGUGAAUACGUUCCCGGGCCUUGUACACACCGCCCGUCACACCACGAGAGUUUGUAACACCCGAAGUCGGUGAGGUAACCUUUUUGGAGCCAGCCGCCUAAGGUGANGNU
rnacentral:rRNA from 1 species